rnacentral:misc_RNA from 1 species
GAUGAAGAACGUAGCGAAAUGCGAUAAGUAAUGUGAAUUGCAGAAUUCAGUGAAUCAUCGAAUCUUUGAACGCACCUUGCGCUCCUUGGUAUUCCGAGGAGCAUGCCUGUUUGAGUGUCAUGAAAUUCUCAACCUUUUCAGCUUUCUUUGUUGAUCAGGCUUGGAUGUGGGAGUAUGCGGGCUUCUCAGAAGUCGGCUCUCCUGAAAUGCAUUAGCGGGACCUUUGUUGCCUGGCUUUGGUGUGAUAAUUAUCUACGCCAUUGUAGUCAAGCAGCUUAAAAUGAGGUUUCAGCUUCUAACCAUCUCCCCUGAGACAACUUUUUGACAAUUUGACCUCAAAUCAGGUAGGACUACCCGCUGAACUUAAGCAUAUCAAUAAGCGGAGGA